rnacentral:rRNA from 1 species
AUGAGUUGUUUCCACCUUGCAAAGAAGACGUGCCGGAAUUUAACCUCUAUCUCUUCAAAAUUCUGGUGGGGUGCAAAAAAUGGUGAGCGGAAGGUGCAUUGGAUCUCAUGGCAAAAAAUGUGUGCAGCUAAACGAGAAGGUGGAAUGGGCUUUCGAGGCCCAGAAGCUUUCAAUCAGGCACUUCUUGCUAAGCAGGCGUGGAGGAUCUUACAAUGCCCAUCAUCUUUGUGUGCAAGGGUACUCAAAGUGCGAUAUUUUAAGGACGAUUCAAUCAUGUCAGCCACAUGCCCGUCCUCGGCCUCGUUCACGUUCAGGAGUAUAUUGCAUGGGAGAGAU